CCGUGCUAAAUGGGGAGUUAGCGGUGCCCUGUAACUUGCAAUCCGCUUUAGCAAGAUUGAUGUCACGAGAAGGCUUUUGCUGAAUGGAAUGAGAAGAUAAAGUAGCGAUGAAGUUUCAAUCUAUUGCAAUGGCUUGAUUAUGAACCCCGUCAGGUCCGGAAGGAAGCAGCGGUAAGUAAUUCAAAUCAUGUGCCGAUAGAAUCUGAAAUGGAGCUUACUCAUUAUUCUUGUUUUAUGAACAGAGAAGUCAACUUACGAUGCACGG
rnacentral:SRP_RNA from 1 species